AUUGAACGCUGGCGGCAGGCUUAACACAUGCAAGUCGAGCGGAGAGAGGUAGCUUGCUACUGAUCUUAGCGGCGGACGGGUGAGUAAUGCUUAGGAAUCUGCCUAUUAGUGGGGGACAACAUUUCGAAAGGAAUGCUAAUACCGCAUACGUCCUACGGGAGAAAGCAGGGGAUCUUCGGACCUUGCGCUAAUAGAUGAGCCUAAGUCGGAUUAGCUAGUUGGUGGGGUAAAGGCCUACCAAGGCGACGAUCUGUAGCGGGUCUGAGAGGAUGAUCCGCCACAGUGGGACUGAGACACGGCCCAGGAUCCUACGGGAGGCAGCAGUGGGGAAUAUUGGACAAUGGGCGCUAGCCUGAUCCAGCCAUGCCGCGUGUGUGAAGAAGGCCUUAUGGUUGUAAAGCACUUUAAGCGAGGAGGAGGCUACUUUAGUUAAUACCUAGAGAUAGUGGACGUUACUCGCAGAAUAAGCACCGGCUAACUCUGUGCCAGCCGCCGCGGUAAAAC
rnacentral:rRNA from 1 species